CCUACGGGAGGCAGCAGUGAGGAAUAUUGGACAAUGGGCGCAAGCCUGAUCCAGCCAUGCCGCGUGCAGGAAGAAGCAUCUAUGGUGUGUAAACUGCUUUUGUACAGGAAGAAACACUCCCUCGUGAGGGAGCUUGACGGUACUGUAAGAAUAAGGACCGGCUAACUCCGUGCCAGCAGCCGCGGUAAUACGGAGGGUCCGAGCGUUAUCCGGAAUCAUUGGGUUUAAAGGGUCCGUAGGCGGUUUAAUAAGUCAGUGGUGAAAUCUGGUCGCUCAACGAUCAAACGGCCAUUGAUACUGUUAGACUUGAAUUAUAAGGAAGUAACUAGAAUAUGUAGUGUAGCGGUGAAAUGCUUAGAUAUUACAUGGAAUACCAAUUGCGAAGGCAGGUUACUACUUAUGGAUUGACGCUGAUGGACGAAAGCGUGGGGAGCGAACAGGAUUAGAUACCCUGGUAGUCCACGCCGUAAACGAUGGAUACUAGCUGUUCGGAGCAAUCUGAGUGGCUAAGCGAAAGUGAUAAGUAUCCCACCUGGGGAGUACGUUCGCAAGAAUGAAACUUAAAUGAAAUUGACGGNGUGAGAGAGACGACGACGACGACGAGGGGAGGAGG
rnacentral:rRNA from 1 species